GUGGGAGCCAGCCUGCUGGCGAAAGCGGCCUGUCAGGCAACAUUAUUGUCGUUUGACACUGCGCAAUCGCCAGCAGGCUGGCUCCCAC
rnacentral:misc_RNA from 1 species